CACGUAGGGGGCGAGCGUUGUCCGGAUUUAUUGGGCGUAAAGAGCUCGUAGGCGGUUUCGUAAGUCGGAUGUGAAAACUCCAGCUCACUUGGAGACGCCAUUCGAUACUGCGAUGACUUGAGUCCGGUAGGGGAGUGUGGAAUUCCGUGGUGUAGCGGUGAAAUGCGCAGAUAAUCAGGAGGAACACCGGCGGCGAAGGCGGCACUCUGGGCCGGUACUGACGCUGAGGAGCGAAAGCGUGGGUAGCAAACGGG
rnacentral:rRNA from 1 species